GACGGGCCUCCUCGCAUGGCGGCUUGGCAACCUGGUCAGGUCGGGAACGAAGCAGCCAAACCCAAAUACUGUCAGUGCCGAGGGUUUGGCUCGUCCUC
rnacentral:SRP_RNA from 1 species